UACGAAGGGGGCUAGCGUUGCUCGGAAUCACUGGGCGUAAAGCGCACGUAGGCGGCUUUUUAAGUCAGGGGUGAAAUCCUGGAGCUCAACUCCAGAACUGCCUUUGAUACUGGGAAGCUCGAGUCCGGGAGAGGUGAGUGGAACUCCGAGUGUAGAGGUGAAAUUCGUAGAUAUUCGGAAGAACACCAGUGGCGAAGGCGGCUCACUGGCCCGGUACUGACGCUGAGGCACGAAGGCCAGGGGAGCAAACGGG
rnacentral:rRNA from 1 species